CUCGGCCCGUUCCCCGGGCCGCUCCUCGCCGCCGCGGCCGAGGCAGGACCCGAGCCGCGAGCCCAGCCCGGCGGAGGCCGCGGCGUUGGCCCGGGCCAGGUCGCGGAGCUCGCGGGGCAGGCCCGGGGCCCGGCUGGCCCGGCAGCAGGUCGAGGACUCUAGGCGGGCCCUUGCCGGGCAAUGAAGCUCCUCGCCCUUCGCAGCUCAUUUGACGUCCUUCCCCGAGCAGAACAGGCGGGGUAUUUUUUACUCAGGGGUUCGUUUUGCUUUAUUUCAGCGCGAAAUGCCUUUGCUGAGCAUGAAGGAAGGCAAAGGAAAGAGAGCAGUGAAGUGGGGAAUUCAGCCACAACCUUUAUUUCUGGAAGGACUUGGUUGCCAUGGGGCCACUUGAAAAGCCACACACACAAAUGUGCCUGUGCUGAGGCGGGAUCAGGUCCUUGGAAACCAUCCGGAGAAUAACAGGCAGGAACACAGCUGGUGUGUGAGAGUGCACAGGGAACUUUCAUCACUUUCAGAUGCUGCUCUGUGUCUAUCUUUAAAAAUCAGUAAAUUUUCUGAUUAAAAAUAAAACCCUACACGUCAUGACUCCAGCAA